CGCGCAACUGCUGAGCAUGCUUCGCCUGCGUGUACGACUGAAGAAGCGUUGCUGCUGAGACGCCAGGCGUGGGUGACUUAAAGACUCGGCGGUACUGCCGGUACUACCGUAGCCACAAGGUGGUGAUUUGGAAUCAACAAUGGGCCUUUUCUUUGACUGUAAACAGAAAACUGUGGGUGUGGACAUAAUGAAGCAAUUGUACCAUUGGAAAUAGUUAUGAGAGUUUGUUAUGUUUCCUGUCCCGAAGAGUAAUGCUAUAUUAAGAAGGGGUCUUAUACUGUCCAGAGCCUGGCACUUCAAGGAGUGUUUCCGGUGUAUGCUGUGUGUACUCUGCUGUUGUGUGUUGCCAGCUCUUUCCCACAGGUCAGUCCUCUGCAGAGUUCCUCCUUGCUUGCAGUGGGGAAUGUUUAGACCUUUAACUAGGUGUGCUUUGCUUUGUUUGUUAAAAUAAGCCUGAUUUAAAAAAGGGGGGGGGGGCUGAUCCAAAAAAAAAGACAAAGGAAAAGAAACAAAAAGACCAAACAGACAAAAAACUAUAAGCCUGAUUCCAAAGAAGAAAGAAAGAAAGAAAGAA